rnacentral:rRNA from 1 species
UACCAGCUCUCCGAGUGGUAGGGAUGAUUAUUGGGCUUAAAGCGUCCGUAGCCGGCUUAGCAAGUCUCCUGUUAAACUCAGCGACCUAAUCGUUGAAUCGCGGGAGAUACUACUAGGCUAGGAGGCGGGAGAGGUCGACGGUACUUCUGGGGUAGGGGUGAAAUCCUAUAAUCCCAGGAGGACCACCAGUGGCGAAGGCUGUCGACUAGAACGCGCUCGACGGUGAGGGACGAAAGCUGGGGUAGCGAACCGGAUUAGAUACCCGGGUAGUCCCAGCUGUAAACGAUGCGGGCUAGGUGUUGGGAUGGCUACGUGCCAUUUCAGUGCCGCAGGGAAGCCAUUAAGCCCGCCGCCUGGGGAGUACGGCCGCAAGGCUGAAACUUAAAGGAAUUGGCGGGGAGCACCACAAGGCGUGAAGCUUGCGGUUC